AAGCUUUUUAAAAAAGGAUGAAAGAUUCCCAGAUAUGAGUGAAUGCUAUAGAAAUUGCAGGAGAGUCCAAAGGGCUGCGAUUCUCCUGUGCCUCAGUCUUAUUUCAUACCUGCGACAUCU